rnacentral:piRNA from 1 species
UCCCCACAAGAGCACAGGGAGGCUCGGACC